rnacentral:lncRNA from 1 species
GGUGGCUUGGGCAUUCAAAGAGUGAUUGCUGAUCUCUGAGGGCUGAUCCUUUGUUAGAGAGCAGUGACUACCCUUUAUAGUUGGGGAACAUGCUUGAAGUUGAAGGGCAGAUCAUGAGAGGGGAUCUCCAACCCCAAUGACGAUGGAAAGGGAGGUUGAUGCCAAGGGUCUGGUGAUGGGAUGCCAGUCGAGGAUGGGGCCUUAGUUGAUUACCUCUCGGAUCUGAUAGCUGCAAGCACCGAGCAAGGGCUGAAGGUGAAGAAGGAUACUGAGUUGC